GCAACAUUUUGUGAUGACGUCACAACAGCUGUAGGUACGUGCCAUUUUUCGCCAUUUUAUGCGCUGUGUUUUGUGGUACUUCUGCUGUCAAGUAGCUGUUUAUGAGAUCGUAUUUUGUGUUUUGCGGAUAAAUUACGAGGAUUUGAUUUGCUAAAUCGAAGUUGAAGUUGAAAAAAGUGUUAUUCAACAUGUCCGUGUAUUGUAUUGUACCGUGUGGUGCCAGAAAGGACAGAAAUCAACCGUAUUUGUCACUUCAUAGGCCAUCUUUCAAUCCAAAAUUGUCGACUGGAUUUACUGAAACAGGUGAUAUUGGAAAACUAAUCCACAGCUGCAACGUCGUCUGUGCUGCCAUUGCCCGUACGUCUGUCUCAUAAGUCAGUACAUGAAAAGUCUGUUCAAGAAGACGCGAUGAAAAAAUUAAAAGAUAGCCAAUUUGAAGAAUAUUAUGGAAGAUCUGCAGAAUAAAAAUCAAAUAAUA